rnacentral:misc_RNA from 1 species
GGGGGAGGGAGAUGCUGCGCAGAAGAAAGGAGAGUUGGGCGCAGGGAGGAAGGGGGCCGGCUGCGUGGAUUUUCUGGGCGCCAGCCAUUCCCUGCGUGAUGGCGAGGCCGAGCUGGGAGAGGGGAGUCGCUGUCCUCUGCUGGCCGAAGUUGCUGCUCACCUGCAGGGGAAGUGGGGCUCGCGCCCAUGGGAGGAGAAGGGCAGGGGACGCCAUGGCUGUGGAGGUGCUCGUCUGCUGCAGAGAUGGAGCUCGUCCAUGCAGGAAGGAGCCGAGGGGGAGAAGGGAGGCCAGCCAUGGGAGAAAAAGCUCCUCCUCUUGCGCGCUGGGGAGAAGGGCGCCAUGGCUGGGGCGCGUGGAGCAGGGCUCGCUGGUGGCUGCUGCCGCCCUGAGCAAGGAGGAAGAAGGUGCAUGGGAGAGAAAGGAGAAGAGAGUGGCGGCUGGAAAUUUUUG